rnacentral:rRNA from 1 species
UACGUAGGGUGCAAGCGUUAAUCGGAAUUACUGGGCGUAAAGCGUGCGCAGGCGGUUGUGCAAGACAGAUGUGAAAUCCCCCGGGCUUAACCUGGGAAUUGCAUUUGUGACUGCACGGCUAGAGUGUGUCAGAGGGGGGUAGAAUUCCACGUGUAGCAGUGAAAUGCGUAGAUAUGUGGAGGAAUACCGAUGGCGAAGGCAGCCCCCUGGGAUAACACUGACGCUCAUGCACGAAAGCGUGGGGAGCAAACAGG